rnacentral:lncRNA from 1 species
CACUCCAGCCUGGGUGACAGAGUGAGACUCUGUCUCAAAAAAAAAAAAAAAAAAGUGAGCACUGGCCCGGCUCAGUGGCUCACGCCUGUAAUCCCAGCACUUUGGGAGGCCGAGGUGGGUGGAUCACUUGAGGUCAGGAGUUUGAGAUCAGCCUGGCCAACAUGGUAAAAACCUGUCUCUACUAAAAAAUACAAAAAUUAGUCAGGCGUGGUGGUGGACGCCUGUAAUCCCAGCUACUGGGGAGGCUGGGGUGGGAGAAUCACUUGAACCCAGGAGGUGGAGGUUGCAGGGAGCUGGGAUCAUGCCAUUGCACUCCAGCCUAGGUGACAAGAAUGAAACUCCAUCUCAAAAAAAAAAAAAAAAAAAAAAAGCGAGCACUUAUUAAGCACCUACUGUACGCCAGGCACCUGGUUAAUCCUCUCAUCCACUCAACUCAUGUCCACACUCACACACCCCUACGAGGACACACCCUUGCAGACCACCUCCCCUGGAUCCCUAACACCGCAAGUGGAGUGGCACACAGAGACAUGUGGACACGUGUUAACACAUCUGCACAAACUUGUCGUAUAUCCCUGCACCAGGGCCAGGACUAGGGUACAGACAGGGAGGCACGAAGCCAUCAGGAUAUUUUUUUGAGGCCAGGCACCGUGGCUCACACCUGUCAUCCCAGCAUUUUGGGAAGCCUAGGUGGGUGCGUUGCUUGAGCCCAGGAGUUCAUGACCAGCCUUGGCAAUACAGCAAAACCUCAUCUCUGCAGAAAAUACAAAAAUUAGCUGGGCAUAAUUCUGCAUGCCUGUAGUCCCAGCUACUUGGGAGGCUGAGGUGGGAGGAUCGCUUGAGCCUGGGAAGGCAAGGCUGCAGUGACCCGAGAUCGUGCCACUGCACUCCAGCCUGAGUGACAGAGCAAGACUGUCUCAAAAGAAAAAAAAAAGGACUUAUGAAAAUUUAGAGGGUUGUUUACCCUCUACCCAAUCUGCAGUUUACAAUUGACACCAGUGGUUCUCAAACCAGGGUGAUUUUGUUUCCAGGGGAUACUUGUCUGGGGACAGUUUUAGAUGUCACAACUUGGAUGGGGUGUGAGGCUAUUCAUGGCAUUAGGGGGCAGAAGACAGAGAUGUUAUCUAACACCCUACAAUAUACAGGACAGCCCCACUACCAUAUACAUCCCCAAAUGUCAGCAUCAGCUUUUUUUUUUUGAGAUGGAGUCUCGCUCUGUUGCCAAGCUGGAGUGCAGUGGCGUGAUCUUGGCUCACUGCAACCUCCACCUCCCGGGUUCAAGUGAUUCUCCUGCCUCAGCCUCCUGAGUAGCUGAGACUACAGGUGUGCGCCACAACGCCCGGCUAAUUUUUGUAUUUUUAGUAGAGACGAGGUUUCGCCACGUUGGCCAGGCUGGUCUCACCAGCCUGAGAGUAGCUAGUCACAGCUACUCAGGAGGCUGAGGUGGGCAGAUUGCUUGAGUCUGGGAGGCAGAGGUUGCAAUGAGCCGAGAUCACGCCACUGCACUCCAGCCUGGGUGAUAGAGUGAGACCCUGUCUCAAAAUAUAUAUAUAUAAUAAUAAUAAUAUUAAUAUUUUUCCCUUUUUUGAGACAAGGGUCUCUGUCUCAGGCUGAGUCUCAUAUUGCCCAGGUUGGUCUCAAACUCCUGGCCUCAAGUGAUCUUCCCUCCUAGCCUCCUGAGUAGCAGGGAUUACAGGCAUGAGCCACCACAUCCAGCAAGGUAAGUAUUUUAAUGCAAUACUUUUAAAAUAAAAUUUAAAAUAUUUGUAAAAAGGCCAGGCACAGCGGCUCACGCUUGUAAUCCCAACACUUUGGGAGGCUGAGGCGGGCAGAUCACCUGAGGUCAGGAGUUCAAGACCAGCCUGGCCCGGGCACAGUGGCUCAUGCCUGUAAUCCCAGCCCUUUGGGAGGCCGAGGCAGGUGGAUCACGAGAUCAGGAGAUUGAGACCAUCCUUGCUAACAUGGUGAAACCCCAUCUCUACUAAAAAUACAAAAAAUUUAGCUGGGCUUGGUGGCAGGCGCCUGCAGUCCCAGCUACUCAGGAGGCUGAGGCAGGAGAAUGGCGUGAAGCCGGGAGACGGAGCUUGCAGUGAGCCGAGAUCACACCACUGCACUCCAGCCUGGGGGACAGAGCGAGACUCAAUGUCAAAACAAAACAAAACAAAACAAAACAAGACCAGACUGGCCAACAUGGUGAAACCUGUUGUUUCACCUGUUCACCUGUCUCUACUAAAAAUACAAAAAAAAAAAAAAAUCAGCUGUGCAUGGUAGUGGGUGACCUGGGGAGUGGCCUGUAAUCCCAGCUACUUGGAAGGCUGAGGCAGGAGAAUUGCUUGAACUCAGGAGGCGGAGGUUGCAGUGAGCUGAGAUCGUGCCACUGCACUUCAGCCCGGGUGACAGAGCGAGACUCCAUCUCAAACAAACAAACAAAAUACAAAAAUUAGCCAGGUGUGGUGGUGCGUGCCCGCAGUCCCAGCUACUCUGGAGGCUGAGGCAGGAAAAUUGCUGGAACCCGGGAGGCAGAGGUUGCAGUGAGACGAGAUCACGUCACAGCACUCUGGUUUGGGUGACAGAGCGAGGCUAUGUCUCAAAAUAAAUAAAUAAAAAUAAAAUAAUAAAAUAAAGUAACAUAAUUGUGAAAAGCAAUACUUUUCAAAAGCAAUACUUUUAAAUACUUUUAAAGCUGGACACAGUGACUCACAUCGCUAAUCCCAACACUUUGGAAGGUCAAGGUGGGAGGAUUACUUGAGCUCAGGAGUUUGAG